rnacentral:rRNA from 1 species
CUGGCUCAGGAUGAACGCUGGCGGCGUGCCUAAUACAUGCAAGUCGUACGAGGGAAGUCCAGCUUGCUGGACGGAACGAGUGGCGAACGGGUGAGUAAUACGUAAGCAACCUGCCUGCAAGGACUGGGAUAACACCUGGAAACGGGCGCUAAUACCGGAUAGGUAACAAAGGGGCAUCCCUAUGUUAUUAAAGGUUAGAAACACAAGCAGAUGGGCUUACGGUGCAUUAGCUAGUUGGUGAGGUAACGGCCCACCAAGGCGAUGAUGCAUAGCCGGCCUGAGAGGGUGAACGGCCACAUUGGGACUGAGACACGGCCCAGACUCCUACGGGAGGCAGCAGUAGGGAAUUUUCGGCAAUGGACGAAAGUCUGACCGAGCAACGCCCGCGUGAGUGAAGAAGGUUUUCGGAUUGUAAAGCUCUGUUGUAAGGGAAGAACAGCACGGAAAGAAUCCGUGAAUGACGGUACCUUACCAGAAAGCCACGGCUAACUACGUGCCAGCCGCCGC